rnacentral:rRNA from 1 species
GACGUAGGGGGCCAGCGCUGUUCGGAAUUACUGGGUGUAAAGGGUUCGUAGGCGGUGUGGCAAGUCGGGAGUGAAAUCUCUGGGCUCAACCCAGAGACUGCUUCCGAAACUGCUGUGCUUGAGUGUGAGAGAGGCUCGUGGAAUUGCAGGUGUAGCGGUGAAAUGCGUAGAUAUCUGCAGGAACACCCGUGGCGAAAGCGGCGAGCUGGAUCACUACUGACGCUGAGGAACGAAAGCUAGGGGAGCAAACAGG